rnacentral:rRNA from 1 species
GAUGAACGCUGGCGGCGUGCCUAAUACAUGCAAGUCGAGCGAACAGACGAGGAUCUUGCUCCUCUGACGUUAGCGGCGGACGGGUGAGUAACACGUGGAUAACCUACCUAUAAGACUGGGAUAACUUCGAGAAACCGGAGCUAAUACCGGAUAAUAUAUUGAACCGCAUGGUUCAAUAGUGAAAUACGGUUUUGCUGUCACUUCUAGAUGUAUCCGCGCUGCUUUAGUUAGUUGGUAAGGUAACGGCUUACCAAGGCAACGAUGCGUAGCCGACCUGAGAGGGUGAUCGGCCACACUGGAACUGAGACACGGUCCAGACUCCUAGGGGAGGCCGCAGUAGGGAAUGUUCGGCAAUGGGCGAAAGCUUGACGGAGAAACGCCACGUGAGUGAUGAAGGUCUUCGGAUCGUAAAACUCUGUUAUUAGGGAAAAACAAAUGUGUAAGUAACUAUGCACGUCUUGACGGUACCUAAUCAGAAAGCCACGGCUAACUACGUG